UACGAAGGGGGGCUAGCGUUGCUCGGAAUCACUGGGCGUAAAGCGCACGUAGGCGGAUCUUUAAGUCAGGGGUGAAAUCCUGGAGCUCAACUCCAGAACUGCCUUUGAUACUGGGGAUCUCGAGUCCGGAAGAGGUGAGUGGAACUCCGAGUGUAGAGGUGAAAUGCGCAGAUAUCAGGAAGAACACCCGUGGCGAAAGCGGCUCUCUGGAACGGUACUGACGCUGAGACGCGAAAGCGUGGGGGAGCGAACAGG
rnacentral:rRNA from 1 species